CUUUAGCUAGGUGUUUCAUCCCUUAGCACCCAGUCGUCCUCAUUCAUCAAGUGGGGAGAGGGGAAGAAUUCCCAAUUAGCAGGGUUGCUAUAUAAACCAAAUAGAUAUGGAAAGCACUGCUCUAGGAGCUGGGACAUAAUGUACAUGGUCAGUGAUGGCUCUAGAGAUGAUGAUGGUGGUGGUGGUGGCAGUUAUGCUGAUAAUGAUGAUGAUGGGGCCAAUUAUGAUGGUGGAGAUGAUGAUGCUGACAUGGAUAAUGGUAGUGAUGAUGCUGAUGGUGACAGUUGUGAUGGAGGUGAUGAUGUUGACCGGGUAACAGUGAUAAUGAUGAUGGUGAUGGUGACAGUUACAGUGAUAAUCAUGGUGACAGUUAUGGUGGUGGAGGUGAUGACACUGAUAAUGGUAGUGAUGAUGCUGACGGUGACAGUUGUGAUGGAGGUGAUGACACUGAUAAUGGUAGUGAUGAUGCGGAUGGUGACAGUUGUGAUGGAGGUGAUGAUGCUGGCAGUGAUAAUGGUGAUGAUGCUGACGGUGACAGUUGUGAUGGAGGUGAUGUUGGCAGUGAUAAUGGUGAUUAUAUGAUGCUCACGGUGACAGUUACAGUGAUGCUGAUGGUGACAGUUGUGAUGGUGGAGAUGAUGAUAAAUGGUAAUAUUAGUGAUGAUGAUGAUGAUGGGGUGGUGGUGAUAAACCAGCAUUUGAGGACCUAGGUUGGGCCCAUCGCUCAGAAGGAUAUAAAACUAGAAGUUUGAGUGAGAACUACUGCUUUCAAGAAUGUUUGGUGAGAUUAAAUUAAAAUUCUUGAAAAACUAUUCAACAGCUUGCUAUUAUUAGCAAUGAGGAUAUUUCACAUUUAGUCAGCAUUCACUUCUAUGCCAGGCAUGGCUCCAAGUAGUUUAUAUAUAUUUCUUUCUUUUUUUUUUUUUUUUUUUUUUUUUUUUGUCUUUUUGGGGCCACACCCAAGACAUAUGGAGGUUCCCAGGUUAGGGGUCGAAUUGGAGCUACAGCUGUCCGCCUACACCACAGCCACAGCAGUGCCAGAUCUGAGCCAUGUCUGUG
rnacentral:lncRNA from 1 species